GAUGAACGCUGGCGGCGUGCCUAACACAUGCAAGUCGAACGGAAAGGCACUGAGUUUGUGGGGUUCCCGAGUGCGGAAGGCGUGAGUAACACGUGUGUAUCCUGCUCUUGUCUUUCGGAUAACUUCACGAAACGGGGGCUAAUAUCGGAUAGGAUAUCCUGUACCAUGGUGGGCGUUGGAAAGUUUCGGCGUUUGGGGAUGGAUUCGCCGCUUUCGAGCUUGCUGGUGGGGUAGUGGCUUACCAAGGCUUUGACGGGUAGCCGGCCUGAGAGGGUGGCCGGACACAUUAGACCUGAGAUACGGCCCAGACUGGGACAUGAGGCAGCAGUGGCGAAAGUUGCACAAUGGGCGGAAGCGUGAGGCAGCAAGGCCGCGUGCGUGAAAACGGCCUUCGGGGGGAAAACCGAUUUGGACGUUAACAAAGCGUGAGUGACGGUAAUGGGUAAGAAAGCGCCGGCUAACUACGUG
rnacentral:rRNA from 1 species